UCUGUGGAUCGUUAUAGCAAAUGAGAGUAGUUAGUGAUAUUCAGUAUUUGGUGUCAUGACAAAAUCAGACGGGAUGAAGCAGAAA
rnacentral:sRNA from 12 species